GUAGGAUUGUUGGAGUUAGGAUCAUUGUUAGGUAAAAGAUAGUGUUCUGUUACCUGUCCCUGAACAUUUCAGUGUGUCUGUGAGGGUUAGUGUUAGGGCUACCAUUCCAGCUAGGGUUUAGGGGUAGGGUCGGGGUGAUAGAUAGCUUGAAAUUGAAAUGCCUGUGUCUUCAAGUGUGGGGUAGCAAGUCAUUAAUGUGUAAGUACAUGGUGAGGAUUUGGGAAAAUGUAGAAUUCAAGUACCUCGGUGUUGGAAUUUGGUCCUGCUCCUUAGGGUUAUGUUUAGGCCUAGGUUCCGGUUUAGGGUUCGAAGAUAUGUUCCUGAGGUUUGGAGUGUGUCUGUGAUGUUUAGAGAAAGGGUUCUUCUUUUGGUAAGUGUCAUGGAUAGUGCUGAAAUAGCGGCACCUGAACAUGACUUCUGGGCAUUACGGUUUGUGUCAGAAUUCGGUUUAGGAUUCGGGAUCUCACGUGGAUCAAGUACUUGGUUAUUGGAGUGUGAGUAGUAUUGUUAGAGUUAGCCUCAGUGUUAAGUAAGGGGUAGUGUUUUUUUUCCAUGUUUCUGGCCAUUGCAGUGUGGCUCUGAUGGGUAGUGUUGUGUUCCAGUUUUAGCUAGGGUUAGGGUUUGGGUUGGGGUGAUAGGUAGCAUUGAAAUUGCAAUGCCUGUGUCUUCAAGUGUGGGUUUGAAAGUGAGUAUUAGCGUAAGUUCGUGGUGAGGGUUUGGUGUAAUGUAGAAUUUCAAGUCCCUGGGUAUUGGAAUGUGGUCCUGCUGCAUAGAUUUCGGGUUAGGAUUCCUUUUAGGUUUAGGGUUCCAAUGCAUGUACCUGAGGUUUGGAGUGUGGGUAUGAGGAGUUUUAGGUUUAGGGAUCCUCUGUUGGGAAAUGUCAGAUAGUGCAGAAGCCCAGGUCCCUGAAAAUCACUUCUGGACAAUACGGUUUGUGUCCGAAUUCAGCUGACAGUUAGGGAUGGCACGUGGAUCAAGUACCUGGUUAUUGUAGUGUGAGUAAGAUUGUUCGUGUUAGGAUUAUUGUUAGGUAAGAUAUAGUGUAAUUUUAUAUGUUCCUGGACUUUGCAGUGUGUCUCUGAUGGGUAGUUGUAGGGUUAGCGAUGUAGCUCGGGAUAGGCUUAGGUUUGGGGUCCUAAACGGCGUUGACACUGAAAUGCCUGUGUCUUCCAGUGUGGCUUGCGUGUUAGUACCAGCAUAAGUCCAUGCUGGGGGUUAGGGAUAAUGUAGAAUUUCAGUUUCCUGGGUAUUGGGAUUUCAUCCUGCUGCUUAGGUUGAGGGUCAAG
ensembl:lncRNA